rnacentral:rRNA from 1 species
UACGUAGGGUGCAAGCGUUAAUCGGAAUUACUGGGCGUAAAGCGUGCGCAGGCGGUUUGCUAAGACCGAUGUGAAAUCCCCGGGCUUAACCUGGGAACUGCAUUGGUGACUGGCAGGCUAGAGUAUGGCAGAGGGGGGUAGAAUUCCACGUGUAGCAGUGAAAUGCGUAGAGAUGGUGGAGGAAUACCGAUGGCGAAGGCAGCCCCCUGGGCCAAUACUGACGCUCAUGCACGAAAGCGUGGG